CUACGGGGCGCUCCAGUGGGGAAUAUUGGACAAUGGGGGGAACCCUGAUCCAGCAAUGCCGCGUGUGUGAAGAAGGCCUGAGGGUUGUAAAGCACUUUAGUAGAGGAGGAAGUUUAGCUUGUGAAUAAUGAGCUGAAUUGACGUUACUCUAAGAAUAAGCACCGGCUAACUCUGUGCCAGCAGCCGCGGUAAUACAGAGGGUGCAAGCGUUAAUCGGAUUUACUGGGCGUAAAGGGUGCGUAGGCGGAUGAUUAAGUUGGUUGUGAAAGACCUGGGCUAAACCGAGGAACUGCAAUUGAUACUGGUUGGCUAGAGUGUGGUAGAGGGAAGUGGAAUUUCUAGUGUAGCGGUGAAAUGCGUAGAUAUUAGAAAGAACAUCGAUGGCGAAGGCAGCUUCCUGGACUGACACUGACGCUGAGGCACGAAAGCAUGGGUAGCGAACAGGAUUAGAUACCCUCGUAGUC
rnacentral:rRNA from 1 species